ACGGAAGGCAGCAGUGGGGAAUAUUGGGCAAUGGGCGCAAGCCUGACCCAGCAACGCCGCGUGAAGGAAGAAGGCUUUCGGGUUGUAAACUUCUUUUAUGUAGGACGAAACAAAUGACGGUACUACAUGAAUAAGCCACGGCUAACUACGUGCCAGCAGCCGCGGUAAUACGUAGGUGGCGAGCGUUAUCCGGAUUUACUGGGUGUAAAGGGCGCGUAGGCGGGGAUGCAAGUCAGAUGUGAAAUCCCGGGGCUCAACCCCGGAACUGCAUUUGAAACUGUAGUCCUUGAGUAUCGGAGAGGCAAGCGGAAUUCCUAGUGUAGCGGUGAAAUGCGUAGAUAUUAGGAGGAACACCAGUGGCGAAGGCGGCUUGCUGGACGACAACUGACGCUGAGGCGCGGAAGCGUGGGGAGCAAACAGGAUUAGAUACCCUGGUA
rnacentral:rRNA from 1 species